GCAGUUCCUAAUUGACCCAAGUUAGAACAUCAUUGCAGGGAGAGGGAGUGGAUGGAGAGGAGAGUUUGUGGCUUCUUUGACACCAAAGCUGAUUUCUUUUUCCCUACUACCAUCACGAUAAUGUGCUCCUUUUAUGUUAUAAAAACUGGCCGAUUCUAUUUUACUGAAACGUCAGCACAUGGGCUUCACUCUAAAGCUUAUGAAGGAAAUCUAAUGGUAGGUAAAAGGAGGAGCGUGUUUGACUAUUUUUCUAAGAAUUUAUUUUCUUUUGGUUAGGUUCGUUACUUGAAGAUUAUUGAGAAAAGUGGCUACCAGGCUUUGCCAUGGGUUCGUUAUAUUACUCAGAAUGGAGACUACCAACUACGAACACAAUGAAGGAAGAUUGCACUUGAAGAGUCAUUGGGACGGGAAGAUCCAAUUCAGUGGAUUGUGUAUAAGUGUUAGGUGUAUUCAUCAUGUUUCAGGUCUCUGUCAUAGAACAUCUUUCAUGAGGAAAAUUCAACAUUUCAACUGUGGAGCUGAAAAAAAAGGCAGUAUUUUUCAUUUUCCCCAUACGUCCCUGUCAUCGCCAAAUCUUCCUCUUGCUUUUUGUCCCUUUUUGGAUAGUAAUUCUUUCUUUCUUAACUUGUUUCUCUCAACCCUUGGGCAAGUUAAACUGCUGGGCUGAACUUGGAGUGCUCCCGAAGGUUUGAGCGUUGUUGUUGCUUAGCAGUUGUAUUUUGAUGCGAGUGGGAAUUUCUCUUUUUGGGCUACAAUUGUGUUUUGUCUUGUCUUGUCUCAUUCUCCAAACAGUGUCAAAUGAAUGUGAAACUAACUAAUGGUCAUAAUGCACUCCAAGCUGACCUCAAUUGCCAUCUCCCAUACCACCACCACCCUCCCCACUUAAUUAUGAAAAAGCAUUUGCAAAACCACAAAGAAUACAUUGCUCUCCUCGCAAGUACAAUAUGCAUUCCAAGAUUUGUCCAAUUUAUAUGUUUUCCUUUUUGAUACAAAUGUAACUCCAUAUUCAGCAUGAAGUCAGGUGGUAGGUUCCAAUGCCACAGGGUGUUUGCUCUGAUCUGGGUGAUUUAUCAGCUGGUGCUGCCGUCCCACAGUUUCCCACACAUCACAGCCCAUUCCGACCAGCAGAUGCAAGUUGGAACUCCCCUGCAGUCUGACAUAUUUUCCCCCUGCAUUCUGCUUGAGCCAAACUGCGUGGCACAGGUCAGACCCAGUUUUUUUUUCGAUGCUUUGCUCUCACUGCCAGUUUGAACUAUAAGUGGGCUAAGUCUUCACUGACUAGUCAGUGCACUGCUCCUCUUGAUGAUGUGUGUCUCUUGCUGAUUCUCCCUCUUGUUUCACCCCUGCUGAUCUCACAUCCAUGCUGCCCGUCACAUCCACCAGUCAGUAUGAAUUUUCAGUCUGCCGUACGAGCAUUGUAUCUGUUACAGUUCAUUGAUUUUACUUUUAAAGGAGGGAAAUAUUGGAUUUUUUAAAGUUUUGCUGUUUAAAAAUAUGAGAAGAACUGCCAUGUAGCAGCACUUAGUAAUCAGGCCAACACAGACUAGAGCACUGGGCUGUUUCCUAUUACAGACCAGUCACAGAUCUAAACCAAAGCUGAUCGGGCCCUCAAACUGCAGGGAAUGUAGGGCUGGUUCAGAUAACAGGUUGCUUCAAGAAAAUGUGCUCUUAAAAUGUUAACUUUUUUUAUGCAGCUGUUAUGUUUGAAUAUGUGUAUGUAAUGCUGUGUGAAAUUUCUAAAGACCAGUAUUAGAAUGAGUGCUGAUGAACUGCAGAUCUAAUAUGGUUCUUGGUUGGCCAGAAUUAUUUAUUUCUGGGCCAGACUGAUAUAUUCAUUGCCAUUAUGACAGUGUAAAUAGUCCUGUUGCUACCUGCUACACCAUGCUGCAACAAUCUAUAGUAAAAAUGUUUCUGAAACCGUAUGUGGUGGAGUUAACCCAAGAGGGGCCAACCACAUGAGUUGCCUGUGUAAUAUGAUUCUAUGCCACAGGAAGCGUCAGCUAUUAAGGGUAUAAUACCACCUUGCUAGGGUGCAUUGAUUAAAGACAUCAUGUGCUACUAGGGGAAACAGAAUGGAUGAUCCCUGAUUUGAUCCUUGAUUUUUGCUGAAUUAUCUGAAUUUGACCGAGACCGCAGUGGUGGUGUUCCAUCUGUUUAAAAAAACACUGCUACAAACUACACAUACUUGGCCCUUAAAAUGCAGAUUGGCUAGGUUUGGACUCAGCUGUGAUUCCAUCUAUGGUUGAAUAUUCAGUCUCUCUCUCACACUCUCAUUCACACUGACACACAGACAGACAUACACAUACAAGCACUCUGCUGCCAUUCUGGUGAGAUAAAUAUACCUUCUUACAUAGGUUGGUGCACCAGUGACAUUUUGCUGUUUGGGGAAGAUCUCAUAGUACAGUGGUGGUGUCCCUACCUUUGAGCAAGAAGGCCCAUGUUCAAGUCCCACCUGCUCCUGUGUUUCAAAAAAACAUCUGAACAGGUCGAUUAAACAUAUCUUAAUGCUGUCUGCAUGUGGAACCCUAGCCCUACUGAAUGCUCAUCACAUACCCUAGUUAGUGCUUAGUCAAAGCAAGUGAGGCAUUUCAGUUGGGUUCUUGUCCUGUUCUGUGUUAAUUAUGACUCUGAAACUGGUCGGUCACUGUGCCACAUACGCUGGUAUUGAUUUGUGCUAGAUCCCACACCACAGCAGCAGACAACAGGGAAUGUUCUGAACUGGACCUCACAGCUUAAAUGGGAAAGUAAGCCAGCAGCAUUUUAUCAUGUACGGCUGAGGAAAUACAGGGUGUCUGCAAUAUCAGCUCAAUACGUGAGCUUCACAUGAUGAUGUCCUCUAAACCACAUUUAUUUCUUCCCUCGAACAGUUCACUGUAAAGACAUUAGCCUGUGAAUUUACUGCGGAGGUUCUUUUGUAGGACAGUAGCCCAUGAGCGCCAUUAUUCUGGGGUUGCUGCCAACUUCCCACAUCAGAAAAAUGUCUGAGAGGCUUAAGGUCAAUGACCCUGACCCGUAUAGAGAAGCAUGGUCUGUGCAUUGACCCCCUCAGUACAUGAGUUAGCUCAUCUCAGCCAGGACCAGAAUACAGGGAAUAGAAUUGACAACAGUGCGCCUGUGUUGAGCAAACAGAGAGGGAGAAAUCCAGACAGACUGCUCAUUAGGGAAUGGUCCUGCUGGAAGUGUGGUUGUGUGUGGGUGCUGUGAUAUUAUCACGUUCUCCACAAGUCAUGUAUUGUUCGUUGCUGCUUUCAAAACUGACCACUUGGCUGCUGGAGUGAUUUACUGGAACAGCCUGUAACUGGAGUUUUAACCUUGCAACAGCAUCAUUGUUUUCAGGAGAAUUGGAAAAGGCAGCACUUAAUCUUCUAACUGAGCAUGGCAUUUUGUAGUUAUGUAAAGUACGGUAUUUGAAAUGAUUAAUGAGUAGAGCACCAGCAUAUGCGUCACAGUGGGUAUGGCUUCAGGCAUCGGUUCCACCAUUGCCAAGUUACUAUUUGUAGCCUCUCUGAUCAUUGGACAAGAUCACCUGAAGGGCAGCUUGGCUGUUUAAACUACUACCUAACAACCAACAGUGGGAGUACAUUGCAUGUCAAGGAUGAUGCAUACUGUGGGAAGGACCAAUGAAAGGAAAUGAGUUUAAAAAGGAGAGGUGUAAUUAUCUUUUAGCCAAAUCUUUUGGUGUGAAGAAUCAAAGAAAAUCGGGUUAGUUUUUUUUUUAAAUACAUUCCUCUGAUGAUUUGAACUUAACCAUUGGCAAGUGGGGUUUAUUCGUAUUGCUGAAUGAUUUAAAACAACACACUGUCCUUGGAAAGUUCUAAUUAUUUAUAAACAUAACUUUCUGAAAGACAGAGGAAUAUACUUAAUUUGCCAGUGUGUGAAAUCUUAAAUCUUCCCUCUUGGGCCUUCAUCUCGCUUUGAGCAGAAAAAGUUUCCAAGGUAGCAGGAUCUGCUUCAGAGCUAGUUUGCAUUGAGGAAGAUUGCCUUUUCUCACUUCUGUUUUUGUGUGUUUGAAGUGACCAUCUCACGUUGUUAUUCACUGAUUGAGAAUUGUGCUCAUGCUGUAGCUGUUCUUUACUGAGUGAACCGAACAGCAGAGGACCUUGCUCUAAAGGAGUUGGGGAUUUACGUGAGCAAGUGCAGCACUCUCCUUACAGAAGGCUUCUUAAAAUGAACAUGUCUAAAAGUAGGUACAACACAGGGAGUUGUUCAUUUUGAGCAGUCUGCUUGAAACAUUGGAAUAUUUCAAACUAGCUUUUACAUGAUCACCCUGAUGUUUCUGAUUUUUUUUUAAAGGAAAUGCGUUGACAAACAUCAGAAUUCAUUUUUGAAUCAUAUAAUUUUAAUUCUGAAAUAAUUUUUAUUUAAAGCAUUCUUUAGAGGGUUGUGAAUUCCAAGGAUACAUAAAUCCCAAACUGUGCUAACUUAAAAUGUGCCAAAGCUGCAAAUUGAGGACUGCACAGUCAGGGGAACGAUUAGCCAGCAUUACAGCUCCUGUUUUCUCUCUUCUAAGACUCCUGGUGCAGUCUGCAUGCAUAGCCAUCUGUUGUGCUUCUGAGUAAACUCUGUGACAGUAGCCCUCCUCCAACAUCCAGUAGCCAAUCAGCAUGGUAUGCCAAGCUUUGUGUACAAGCAUUAGCAUCUUGAAUAUGGUGAGAGAGAGAACCCAACACUCCAUUGCUGCUUUCUGAUGAAGGGGGCAUAAAAAUCAGGGAGAAAUUGGAGUUAUUGUCCAUAAGGUGAAGUCAGAAACUGUACUUGACAUUUCACAUAAGCUGAAUUUGAUUUUGUUAGCUCAGUUUGGGGUUGUUAUCUCUGAAUUCCAACAUGGAAGAGAGAAAGAGAGAGAUUUGGAGGAGUGGGGGCUGAGUCUUUCAGGCUGUGAUCUCCAAAGAUGGACAUUGCACUCUUAAGAUUUCUCCAGCUUUAGUUUCUGCUUUCUCUGAUGAAGCCAUGUGGUGUACAGUGUUCAAUCUUGUCUCAAAGAGCUGUGACAUAUAAUUUUGUGAAUUGUAGUGUCAGAAUGUGAGCAAUGUAUUCAUGUCUCGUGAAUAUUUUCAAAACAUUACCUUGUGCACCGGUUUCAUACAGCAAGACCUCUUGUGAGGAAUGCCUGUCCUUUGGAGGACACGACCUUAUUUAGAAAGCUAUUCAGAUCGUAAGCAUGUUUAAUUGGAGCAGCUUCAAUUCUUGACAUCCCUUUGUGUGAGGAAAAUGAAACUCACCAAUGGCACAAAGAAUCAUUCAGGAGUUUGACUUGGUUGUGCUGUCUAAGAAAUGCCAGUGCAUCAUGUUCAGUGUAUUGGGCUCUGGUUUGGGUGUGCUGUUAGCUUCGUAGUUUGAGGAGAAUUUGGCUGGCUCCAGAGGAGAUCUAAUCUUCAGUGUGUUGUUAUCAUAAAACGGUUCAGUUGGCACGAACACCAAUGGAUGUUGUUCAUUAGAUUUCAAAAACUUCCUUUCUCUGCCUGUUUAUCAACUGAUGUUGAGUUCAUUCACCUUAUUCUUUGCAUCGUCAAUAAAAAAAAGUCACGAAA